rnacentral:tRNA from 1 species
GUGGCUUAGUUGGUAGAGUAUGGCGCUUGUGAUGCCUGGGUCGUGGGUUUGAUUCUCACC